UACGGAGGGGGCGAGCGUUAUUCGGAAUUAUUGGGCGUAAAGGGCGCGUAGGCGGCUUGUUAAGUCAAAGGUGAAAUCCCUCGGCUCAACUGAGGAACUGCCUUUGAAACUAGCGAGCUUGAGGCCGGGAGGGGGUAGCGGAAUUCCCAGUGUAGCGGUGGAAUGCGUAGAUACUGGGAGGAACACCAGUGGCGAAGGCGGCUACCUGGACCGGUACUGACGCUGAGGCGCGAAAGCGUGGGUAGCAAACAGG
rnacentral:rRNA from 1 species